rnacentral:rRNA from 1 species
GGCUUGUAUGAUGGUUGGACAGAAGAGUGACUGUCUGUGUUUGGUAUAUAUUGAAUUUAAUUUUUAUGUGARAAAGCGUAAAUAUUUUGGGGGGACGAUAAGACCCUAUGAAACUUUAUUUUUAUAAGAUAAUUUUCGAAUUUUUAAAGAAAAUAGUCUUAGAGGGAAUUAUAUUGGGGUGAUAGGAAUAAAAGUUUAAGAUUAACUGUUCUUAAAAUUAAAUAAUUUUAAUUAGUUAGUGAUCCUAUGGUAUAGAUGUAAGAUUAAGUUACUCUAGGGAUAACAGCGUAAUUUGUUUUGAGAGUUCUUAUCGACAAAUUGAUUUGCGACCUCGAUGUUGAAUUAAAGCUAACUUCCAGGGGCAGAAGUUUGGAGAGGUAGGUCUGUUCGACCUUUAAAGCUUUACACGAUUUGAGUU